GUAUAUUCAACUAUUCAAUUAUAUAUAGUCUUUGUUAGAAUCUUGAUAAAGCAGUUUUAGGAGGGAGGGCAUGUCAUUUUUCAUCCAACACAACAGUUUAUUGCCAUCUGAGAAUGGCCAAUCGAAACUACACCUGAUCUAUAUCAAAACUAGUUUCACACAUAGGCCUAUAAUAAUAGAUGAAGCCUGACCAAUCAAUGCUGUCUAGCUGGCUAAGUUCUUCUCCGUUAGACCUGCAUUUACAAUGCAUCCAAUUUCAGUUUGGGUAGUUGUUGGUUUAGGUUUCUGUAACUUUGUUGCAAGUACGGUCUGCAUGCAUAGGCGCAUAUUGCGUCAUGAUUGCAAAAUGUCCCAAUAACUUUUCCAACUCUCCCGUUAUCUGGUUUUAAUGUCGAUUUUUAGAAUGCCCUUCUAGACAAUCAGAAAUGAGUAUUCAAUAAUGCUGUGGUAUAACGCAUUUAUAAUUAGUACAUCAUUUAUUCAUAAUUUAUUCAUCAAUAUGCCAUUCACAUGUUUAAUAUGGGUCCUUAUCAACCAUUUACUAAUCAUUAGUUAAGUAUUUUUGCAUGGCCUCAUCUAAAGUGUGGGCUAUUUAUACUUAAUAAAUGUUUUGAGUGACCAGUGCAAUUUCUCACAAAAGGAUGGACAUGCCAUCGGUAGACAUUCCAGCAGUACCUGCGCUCAAAAUAGCCUAGAACAUAUCAAUGGUUGAAGAAUAAGCAGACCACACACAGGAUGCAACAAAACAAAUAUUUAAACUGCCGCAAGGACUUGACGAAGAGUUGUAAAAGUUAAUGUUUUACUGAUGUUUGUCAAGCUCGCUAAUGCAAACUAAUCAUAAACAGAUGUAGCCUACACACAACAGCUAGCCGGACCUCCCAGUUUCCCCUCUGGUAGAUUUGUUUUCCUUAAUUACUACUGAUAUGUAAUUGAUGUAGAAAUGUUACAUGUCUGAUUUGCAGGUAGAAAUGUUACAUGUCUGAUUUGCAGGUAGAAAUGUUACAUGUCUGAUUUGCAAGUAGAAAUGUUACAUGUCUGAUUUGCAAGUAGAAAUGUUACAUGUCUGAUUUGCAAGUAGAAAUGUUACAUGUCUGAUUUGCAGGUAGAAAUGUUACAUGUCUGAUUUGCAGGUAGAAAUGUUACAUGUCUGAUUUGCAAGUAGAAAUGUUACAUGUCUGAUUUGCAAGUAGAAAUGUUACAUGUCUGAUUUGCAAGUAGAAAUGUUACAUGUCUGAUUUGCAAGUAGAAAUGUUACAUGUCUGAUUUGCAGGUAGAAAUGUUACAUGUCUGAUUUGCAGGUAGAAAUGUUACAUGUCUGAUUUGCAGGUAGAAAUGUUACAUGUCUGAUUUGCAGGUAGAAAUGUUACAUGUCUGAUUUGCAAGUAGAAAUGUUACAUGUCUGAUUUGCAAGUAGAAAUGUUACAUGUCUGAUUUGCAGGUAGAAAUGUUACAUGUCUGAUUUGCAGGUAGAAAUGUUACAUGUCUGAUUUGCAGGUAGAAAUGUUACAUGUCUGAUUUGCAAGUAGAAAUGUUACAUGUCUGAUUUGCAAGUAGAAAUGUUACAUGUCUGAUUUGCAAGUAGAAAUGUUACAUGUCUGAUUUGCAGGUAGAAAUGUUACAUGUCUGAUUUGCAGGUAGAAAUGUUACAUGUCUGAUUUGCAGGUAGAAAUGUUACAUGUCUGAUUUGCAGGUAGAAAUGUUACAUGUCUGAUUUGCAAGUAGAAAUGUUACAUGUAUAACCUUUAAACGCUUCGAGUGCUUCAACCUUUCAACCGCAGACUAUUUUCACUCAUGACUGUGUGGCACCACCUUUACUGGGCCUUUUGACAGUUGCAACGUAAUAGGAUUGUUCAGCGAAAUUAGGACCUCAGAUACCCUAAGCAGUCUAUGGACUGAUCUUAAUCUCUCCUGGACAGAUUCUGCACCUCAACCUGAAGAAUCAGUUGUGACGGGAUGGAAUGCACAGGAUAACGAGCAGCAGUCGGGGUUUAACAAGUGACAUCAAUAAGGGAUCAUAGCUUUCAUCUGGAUUCACCUGGUCAGUCUAUUAAUGUUUAGUACACUGACCAUUUUAUUCCAAAACAGUCACAUCGUUGUGAUGUGAAACUUCAGACACUUUUUGCUGAUCAAAAUAAUGUUUUAGUUUGAAAAUGCUCACAUAAGCGCUUCUUGGUAGUGACUUUUCUACCAAAACCAAAGUGUGGAUUGUAGUCACUCCUUAGAGUGACUACAAUGACCCCCCCCCCCCAAAAAAAUGAUCUGCAUAAUUAAUACACCCCUGGGCUCCAUAUCCAGCUCUCUGAAAGCCUCUUGCUUGGUGUCACACAUUUUGUGGUUCAUGUUUGUCUCUUAAGUAUGAAAAAUUCAAUUGCACUGAUAUACAAUAUCAAAUCAAACUUUAUUUGUCACGUGCCGAAUACAAGUGUAGACCUUACUGUGAAAUGCUUACUUACAAGCCUUUAACCAACAGCGCAGUUCAAGAAGUGUUCAGAAGAUAUUUACCAAGUAAACUAAAGUAAAAAGUAACACAAUAAAAUAACAAUAACGAGGCAUGGACUCACAAGUUGUCGAAAGCGGUCUACAGGAAUGCUGGCCCAUGUUGACUCCAAUGCUUCCCACGUUUGGGUCAAGUUGGCUAGAUGUCCUUUGGGUGGUGGACCAUUCUUGAUACUAACACGGGAAACUGUUGAGUAUGAAAAACCCAGCAGCAUAGCAGUUCUUGACACACUCAAACCGGUGUGCCUGACACCUAAUACCAUACCCCGUUCAAGGGCACUUAAAUCUUUUGUCUUGCCCAUUCACCCUCUGAAUGGCACACAUACACAAUCCAUGUCUCAAUUGUCUCAAGGCUUAAAAAUCCUUCUUUAAUCUGCCUCCUCCCCUUCAUCAACACUGAUUGAAAUGGAUAUAUCAAGUGACAUCAAUAAGGGAUCAUAGCUUUCACCUGGUCAGUCAUGGAAAGAGCAGGUGUUCCUAAUGUUUUGUACACUCAGUGUAUAUCAAACAGUAUUUUGGUGAAUGGUCUGUAUAGUCAUCGUUUCUUUAUAACUUUUACAGAAACAUAUCAUUAGCCUAAGACUAACACGAGAUAAUCAGCAAAAAGUUAGGAGAAGAAUCCUGAGUGCAGGUGUAAAUUCAACACUCAUGUAGGGUCGGCAGGUCGCCUAGUAGUUAGAGCGUUGGGCCAGUAACUGAUAGGUUGCUAGAUCGAAUCCCCGAGCUGACAAGGUACAAAUCUGUCGUUCUGCCCCUGAACAAAUGCAGUUCCUAGGCCGUCAUUGUAAUUAAGCGUUUGUUCUUAACUGACUUGCCUAGUUAAAUAAAGGUUAAGUAAUGUCAUACAUGUAUACCCAUUUAAUCAUGUGUUACCCAUAAAGAAUAUAUUCUACAGGUACAUAUAUCACAUUGUGAAUAUGGCCUUGUACCAUUUUAAGAAGUAAAAAAUAAUCUGUACAUUUUGUUUUGAUAAGAGUUUUGAUCAGAGUUGCACUAAUGUGUCAUACUCUCUUGAUGUCUAUGAGGAACGAACUUAGAUCUCAAAAAGGAUGUUAUCACGUGAGCAUACUCAGCCUUGUCUUUGGAUAAUAAAAUGUCUUCUUCUGAAAUUAAA